UCAUUGACGUUACCCGCAGAAGAAGCACCGGCUAACUCCGUGCCAGCAGCCGCGGUAAUACGGAGGGUGCAAGCGUUAAUCGGAAUUACUGGGCGUAAAGCGCACGCAGGCGGUUUGUUAAGUCAGAUGUGAAAUCCCCGGGCUCAACCUGGGAACUGCAUCUGAUACUGGCAAGCUUGAGUCUCGUAGAGGGGGGUAGAAUUCCAGGUGUAGCGGUGAAAUGCGUAGAGAUCUGGAGGAAUACCGGUGGCGAAGGCGGCCCC
rnacentral:rRNA from 1 species